CAUUAUUUGAGAAUUGACAGUCUCCAGAAGCAUAAAUGUCACCUUGAUAGUAAGUACUGGGGCCCAUUAAAUCCAGAAAUUUACAUUUUCAUAGUUGCCACAAGAAUGAGAAUGCAGGCAAUAUAAUCAUUACUCGUUGGCAAUAUGAACAUCCAUAACCCAUUACUUCUGUCAGCUGUAUCCCCAGACUGGGCCACCUUCCGAAGGAGAGGCUGAUGAGUUACCUCCUGGGUGUGAGUCAGGACCUAUAUAACCAGGCUGGAAGUAAAUGACUUAGAUAUGUCCACAGACACUGGGCCAGGCAGCAAGUGAUGGUAAAUUCUGGAUCUUUGUACUGUCAAAAAAUACCUUGUAUUAUCCUCAAUGGGCUCAUACUUUGCUACCAAACUAUUAAUUAAGUAAAAAUCAGGUUUUCCCAUUUGUUUUCAUUAAUGGCAUACUGAACUGCCAAUUAGAGCUUGAGACCGGCAUCUGCCUAGAUGGUGUAACUGUUAAUUUGAUGUAACUCCAGUCAGAAGCAAAGAAAUCUGAUAUUUCAGAGGCUUUUGCCUUCUCGUUUCAGGUAAAAGCACAGCUUCUCUGGGGCUAUUUAAAAUACAGGAAAUUGUUUGAGAUUAUGGUGAGAAUGGGUUGAAGGACAUCUUAAACUUUUUUCAUAUAUUUUGCAGAGGCUCAUUGGUAUAAUUAUCUUGCAUUGUUUUAUUUAUUUUACAACGUAUUUCCAAACUCACUGCAAACAGCCUACAGGUUGGCCAUUAAUUGGGUAUCUUUUAUUUAUUUAUUUUCUUUGAUUGGAGGAGGGGUUGUUAGGGAAAAGGAAAACAGAGAAACUAUAUCAUCCUUCUUCCACUAAGUUCUCCUUAAUGUUCUCCAGAGUAAAAGGAAAAAAUCUCCAAGAGUAGGUCUCUUUACACUAGCCCCUUCCUUGUAAAACUCUCACUUAAGAUGCUACUUUUCACUGCUUCUUUUAAUGACCAUAUUACUUUGCUUUUAUUAGUUUGGCUUCUUUCUAACUUCUACUAAUGGAUGAGUUAACACAUGACUCACACUUAUAGUUAUUUAUUCUGAUGUUUGGGGAUACAGAGAUGCUUUUAAAAAAUUCCAUCUACAUAAGCAUUUGGACCACUUUGCACUAAAGGCCAUAUUUU
rnacentral:lncRNA from 1 species